UUAUGGAUAUAGAACAUUUAUGGAUAUAGAAGUUAUCUGUAAACAAUGUCUGUUUCCAUUAAAUUAAAUUUUAUUAGCACAAAAUAAUUCCGAGCUUUCAAAAGCAUUGAAUCUAGUUCUAAUUUAAAUUUGCUCAGUAUUAAAUCAUGUUUAAUCAUCUGAUAAUUAUAAUACCAUAAAGUAACCCAAUAUGGGCUGCUUCAGAUUGAAGUACUCCAAUUUAGUUGUCAUCAUUGGUCGUAGAAUUAAAUUAUUAAAUUAAUUCAUUAACUUUUCUCUGUCUCGUGAGUUGUGGUUGGAAAAGUUUUUUUUUUUUUUUUGUAAACUUGUGGUUGGAAAAGUUGAAAAUGUAAACCAGAAAAUAAUUAGAAUUUCCUGUAAAAAAAGGACAAUCACUUUCUGAUUUUUAAGAGAGAGAGAGAGAGUUAUAUCUUCUUCGCUGCAAAAAGCAUUUAUGAAAAAAAUGGUGGUAAAUUAUACAAUGACGUCCAUGUCCUUUUUGGUCAUUUUGGUUUGUGCUGUUAUCAUUAUCACCGUUGAUGCUUUUCCUUCAACGGUCGACGGUCCGUUUACGCCAGUGACUGCUCCACUCGACCCGAAUCUUAACCCGGUGGCAUUCGACUUGCCUGAAUCCGACCCAAGUUUCGUACAACCGAACUCGAAGUUUCUACCUGAACAGAUCUCUGUCUCUUUAUCGUACAACUCUGACUCUGUGUGGAUUUCUUGGGUCACAACAGGUUGCUGCGAAGAAGAUUCUGUGCCUCUGGAUCCUAAUUCAGUGCAAAGCGUAGUCCAGUACCGUGAGUUCAACGCCCGUACUAGAAACAAACAUGCCACGGGCCAUUCUAUUGUGUAUAACCAGCAGUAUAAUGCUCUCAAGAAGAACUAUACUUCAGGGAUCAUCCACCAUGUUCAGCUCACUGGUCUUAAACCAAACACAUUGUAUCAAUACCGAUGCGGAGAUCCAUCUUUAUCAGCAAUGAGCAGAGAUUAUUACUUCAGGACAAUGCCUAAGUCUACAUCAGAGAGUUACCCGCAUAGAAUCAUUGUGGCUGGAGAUUUGGGUCUUACUUAUAAUACAUCAACGGUUUUGACUCAUAUUCUCUCUAACCAUCCUGAUCUUGUGGUUUUGAUUGGAGGUUUCAGCUAUGCAGACACUUAUCUCGCCAAUAAGACCAAACUAAAUUGCAGUUCUUGUAAGUGUGACCAUAAUGGAACCAGUUCUGGUUGUGAUUCUUGUUAUAAUGGUAGAGAAAGUUAUCAGCCUCGCUGGGACUAUUGGGGAAGGUUCAUGGAACCACUCACGGCUAAUGUUCCAACCAUGAUGGUAGCAGGAGAGCACGAGAUUGAGCCGCAGACCGAUGAUAAUCUGACAUUUGUUGCGUACAGUUCAAGAUUCGCAUUCCCUUCAAACGAAAGCGGUUCUUUUACUCCAUUGUACUAUUCCUUCAAUGCAGGAGGAGCUCAUUUCAUUGUACUCAAUGCAUACACACCAUAUGAUUACUCAUCUGAUCAGUAUAUUUGGCUUGAAAAUGACUUGAGAAACAUAAACAGAUCAGAAACUCCAUGGGUGGUUGCAACUUGGAGUCUUCCUUGGUACAGCACAUUCAAAGGGCAUUAUAGAGAAGGUGAAUCCAUGAGGAUAAACCUUGAAGACUUGCUCUAUAGCUACCAAGUCGAUAUUGUCUUCAAUAGUCAGGUUGAUGCUUAUGAGAGAUCAAACAGAGUCUACAACUACACGUUAGACCAGUGUGGCCCGGUUUAUAUAACAAUAGGCGCAGGAGGAGCUGGGAAACUGGAGACUGAGCAUGUAGAUGACCCAGGAAACUGUCCAGAUCAUUCUCAGAGAAACUCUGCUGGAUCCUGCAGCUUUAACUUCACGUUAGGACCAGUAAACGACGAGCCUUGCCGGCUUAAUCAGCCAGAUUACAGCGCGUACAGAGAGAGCAGCUUUGGUGUCGGUAUGUUGGAAGUAAGUCUUCUUUAUAAUCUCUAUCGCUUGGUGUUCAAGUAACCUGCUGAGUUUACUUCCUUGGUGCACAAGCAUGCUUGAAUCUGUUGACUACAAAUCGUAGGUUUUUGCUCUCUUUUUUUUUUUCACAAGAAAGCCAUGGACCAAACCAGAACCUACCAAUAUAAACCAGAUGAUUAUUAUAGUAAAUUGCGAAAAUUGAUUUACUUUUUUCCUACUUUUGGCGUUUUUAGGUGAAGAAUGAAACGCAUGCACUGUGGAGCUGGAACCGGAAUCAAAACUUGUACAAUCUUGUCGGAGAGGUUAUAUACAUUGUACGUCAGCCUGACAUCUGCUCGGUUUUCAACUAAACCAAGUAGUUAAACCGGAUGAUUUUGUAACGUUUUACUUAGCCAUGGCCUUGUAACUCAGCUUAGUAGUUAGAAACUUAGAACAACAACAGAACUGUUCCUCUUCUGAGUUCAGAAUCAGUAUUUAAUAUUUGUCAAUUCUUCAGUGAUACCUUUUAUAAAUAAAAGAGUUAACUAAAA